AUUUAUAUAGUAUAAAAAUAUUACAAUUAAUUUCCAAUUAAAAAAUUUAAUUUAAUUUAAUAUAAAUA
rnacentral:tRNA from 1 species